GACCGUGAUAAAUUAGCUGGUAGAGCGUUGAACUCGCAAUCCAAAGGUCGCAGAUUCAAUAUCCGCCCAGGUUU